AGCGAACGCUGGCGGCAGGCUUAACACAUGCAAGUCGAGCGGGCGUAGCAAUACGUCAGCGGCAGACGGGUGAGUAACACGUGGGAACGUACCUUUUGGUUCGGAACAACACAGGGAAACUUGUGCUAAUACCGAAUAAGCCCUUACGGGGAAAGAUUUAUCGCCGAAAGAUCGGCCCGCGUCUGAUUAGCUUGUUGGUGAGGUAACGGCUCACCAAGGCGACGAUCAGUAGCUGGUCGAGAGGAUGAUCAGCCACACUGGGACUGAGACACGGCCCAGACUCCUACGGGAGGCAGCAGUGGGGAAUAUUGGACAAUGGGGGCAACCCUGAUCCAGCCAUGCCGCGUGAGUGAUGAAGGCCCUAGGGUUGUAAAGCUCUUUUGUGCGGGAAGAUAAUGACGGUACCGCAAGAAUAAGCCCCGGCUAACUUCGUGCCAGCCGCCGCUGUAAG
rnacentral:rRNA from 1 species